rnacentral:lncRNA from 1 species
ACAGGAGAGAAUGAUUAGAGUGUGUGUGUGUGGCCCGAUAGGGGUCGGUAGGUGAAUGAUGGUCGCCGAUGUUGGUGACAAAAAUAAUUGAAAAUAGUGUGCGUGCAUGGCCCAAUAGGGGUCGAUAGGUGGUUAAUGGUCGCCGACCUUGGCGGUGGGUGGUAUCACUGGCACGUCUGGAGUGCCGUCGGGGAACAGAAACCCUGGGUAGGUAGGAUUGUAGGUACAGGAGGGGAAACUGGAAUUAAAUAGUGAACUGUUGGUAAAGGCAUACCGUUUUAUAUUGCUGCAUUUCACACCUGUAUUUUGAGUUUUACUGUACUGAGUU